GGAUAGAGGCGCGGUUUUCAUCAGUACCGUCCGCGAGGGCCCGCAGCCCCGCCGACCGGACGGGAAAGGGCAAACCGCCGAAGCUCCACAUCUGCAUGCGGCAGAGUCGGGCUGGACCGUCCGGAGAAGAUCCGCCGUGUCUGUCAUCUGCAUUUCCCAGAUGCUGGUGGAGAGCUAUCGUA
rnacentral:ncRNA from 1 species